GACGAACCGAGCGACCGUUGUUCGGAAUCACUGGGCGUAAAGCGCGCGCAGGCGGCAUACCAAGUAUUCAGUGAAAUCUCCCUGCUCAACGGGGAGGGUGCUGAGUAGACUGGUAAGCUAGAGGACGGUAGAGGGGGGUAGAAUUGCUGGUGUAGCGGUGAAAUGCGUAGAGAUCAGCAGGAAUACCCGUGGCGAAGGCGGCCCCCUGGGCCGUUUCUGACGCUGAGGCGCGAAGGCUAGGGGAGCGAACGGG
rnacentral:rRNA from 1 species